rnacentral:rRNA from 1 species
GGGUUGUGAGGUUAAGCGACUAAGCGUACACGGUGGAUGCCCUGGCAGUCAGAGGCGAUGAAGGACGUGCUAAUCUGCGAAAAGCGUCGGUAAGGUGAUAUGAACCGUUACAGCCGGCGAUGUCCGAAUGGGGAAACCCAGUGCAAUUCGUUGCACUAUCGUUAACUGAAUACAUAGGUUAACGAAGCGAACCGGGGGAACUGAAACAUCUAAGUACCCCGAGGAAAAGAAAUCAACCGAGAUUCCCCAGUAGCGGCGAGCGAACGGGGAGCAGCCCAGAGUCUGAAUCAGCUUGUGUGUUAGUGGAACGGUCUGGAAAGUCCGACGGUACAGGGUGAUAGUCCCGUACACCAAAAUGCACAGGCUGUGAACUCGAAGAGUAGGGCGGGACACGUGGUAUCCUGUCUGAAUAUGGGGGGACCAUCCUCCAAGGCUAAAUACUCCUGACUGACCGAUAGUGAACCAGUACCGUGAGGGAAAGGCGAAAAGAACCCCGGCGAGGGGAGUGAAAAAGAACCUGAAACCGUGUACGUACAAGCAGUGGGAGCACCUUCGGGUGUGACUGCGUACCUUUUGUAUAAUGGGUCAGCGACUUAUAUUCUGUAGCAAGGUUAACCGUAUAGGGGAGCCGCAGGGAAACCGAGUCUUAACUGGGCGUUAAGUUGCAGGGUAUAGACCCGAAACCCGGUGAUCUAGCCAUGGGCAGGUUGAAGGUUGGGUAACACUAACUGGAGGACCGAACCGACUAAUGUUGAAAAAUUAGCGGAUGACUUGUGGCUGGGGGUGAAAGGCCAAUCAAACCGGGAGAUAGCUGGUUCUCCCCGAAAGCUAUUUAGGUAGCGCCUCGUGAAUUCAUCUUCGGGGGUAGAGCACUGUUUCGGCUAGGGGGUCAUCCCGACUUACCAACCCGAUGCAAACUACGAAUACCGAAGAAUGUUAUCACGGGAGACACACGGCGGGUGCUAACGUCCGUCGUGAAGAGGGAAACAACCCAGACCGCCAGCUAAGGUCCCAAAGUCAUGGUUAAGUGGGAAACGAUGUGGGAAGGCACAGACAGCCAGGAUGUUGGCUUAGAAGCAGCCAUCAUUUAAAGAAAGCGUAAUAGCUCACUGGUCGAGUCGGCCUGCGCGGAAGAUGUAACGGGGCUAAACCAUGCACCGAAGCUGCGGCAGCGACACUAUGUGUUGUUGGGUAGGGGAGCGUUCUGUAAGCCUGCGAAGGUGUGCUGUGAGGCAUGCUGGAGGUAUCAGAAGUGCGAAUGCUGACAUAAGUAACGAUAAAGCGGGUGAAAAGCCCGCUCGCCGGAAGACCAAGGGUUCCUGUCCAACGUUAAUCGGGGCAGGGUGAGUCGACCCCUAAGGCGAGGCCGAAAGGCGUAGUCGAUGGGAAACAGGUUAAUAUUCCUGUACUUGGUGUUACUGCGAAGGGGGGACGGAGAAGGCUAUGUUAGCCGGGCGACGGUUGUCCCGGUUUAAGCAUGUAGGCUGAUUGUCCAGGCAAAUCCGGAUAAUCAAGGCUGAGGUGUGAUGACGAGGCACUACGGUGCUGAAGUAACAAAUGCCCUGCUUCCAGGAAAAGCCUCUAAGCAUCAGGUAACAUCAAAUCGUACCCCAAACCGACACAGGUGGUCAGGUAGAGAAUACCAAGGCGCUUGAGAGAACUCGGGUGAAGGAACUAGGCAAAAUGGUGCCGUAACUUCGGGAGAAGGCACGCUGGUGUGUAGGUGAAGCCCCUGCGGGUGGAGCUGAGACCAGUCGAAGAUACCAGCUGGCUGCAACUGUUUAUUAAAAACACAGCACUGUGCAAACACGAAAGUGGACGUAUACGGUGUGACGCCUGCCCGGUGCCGGAAGGUUAAUUGAUGGGGUUAUCCGUAAGGAGAAGCUCUUGAUCGAAGCCCCGGUAAACGGCGGCCGUAACUAUAACGGUCCUAAGGUAGCGAAAUUCCUUGUCGGGUAAGUUCCGACCUGCACGAAUGGCGUAAUGAUGGCCAGGCUGUCUCCACCCGAGACUCAGUGAAAUUGAACUCGCUGUGAAGAUGCAGUGUACCCGCGGCAAGACGGAAAGACCCCGUGAACCUUUACUAUAGCUUGACACUGAACAUUGAGCCUUGAUGUGUAGGAUAGGUGGGAGGCUUUGAAGCGUGGACGCCAGUCUGCGUGGAGCCAACCUUGAAAUACCACCCUUUAAUGUUUGAUGUUCUAACGUUGGCCCCUGACCGGGGUUGCGGACAGUGUCUGGUGGGUAGUUUGACUGGGGCGGUCUCCUCCCAAAGCGUAACGGAGGAGCACGAAGGUUAGCUAAUCCUGGUCGGACAUCAGGAGGUUAGUGCAAUGGCAUAAGCUAGCUUGACUGCGAGCGUGACGGCGCGAGCAGGUGCGAAAGCAGGUCAUAGUGAUCCGGUGGUUCUGAAUGGAAGGGCCAUCGCUCAACGGAUAAAAGGUACUCCGGGGAUAACAGGCUGAUACCGCCCAAGAGUUCAUAUCGACGGCGGUGUUUGGCACCUCGAUGUCGGCUCAUCACAUCCUGGGGCUGAAGUAGGUCCCAAGGGUAUGGCUGUUCGCCAUUUAAAGUGGUACGCGAGCUGGGUUUAGAACGUCGUGAGACAGUUCGGUCCCUAUCUGCCGUGGGCGCUGGAGAAUUGAGGGGGGCUGCUCCUAGUACGAGAGGACCGGAGUGGACGCAUCACUGGUGUUCGGGUUGUCAUGCCAAUGGCACUGCCCGGUAGCUAAAUGCGGAAGAGAUAAGUGCUGAAAGCAUCUAAGCACGAAACUUGCCCCGAGAUGAGUUCUCCCUGAGACUUUAAGUCUCCUGAAGGAACGUUGAAGACGACGACGUUGAUAGGCCGGGUGUGUAAGCGCAGCGAUGCGUUGAGCUAACCGGUACUAAUGAACCGUGAGGCUUAACCUUACAACGCCGAAG